ensembl:miRNA Mir466h microRNA 466h
UGUAUAUUUGUGUGUGCAUGUGCUUGUGUGUAUGUGAAUAUAUAUAUCAUACGCACGCACACACACACACAAAUGCAAGCA